rnacentral:pre_miRNA from 1 species
AGCUUUUUGAAUCCGUGCAGAGAUUUCGUCAGACAUCGACCCAUUAUGGGGGAUCAAACUUCCAAGAUAAGUGAAGCU